UUGGGCAUGUCGUACCAUCAUCUUCUUUGCUCAGUGUGUGGGAUACGUUUUAAAUCUUUAUAAUAUUUUUAUUUAAUAUUUAAUAUAUUUUUUUUAAAUCUCAUAAAAAUAUAAUAGUUCACAUUAUUUCAAUACUAUUUAUCCACGUAUUUCAAUCUCAUUUUAUUCCCGAAGCAUCCCUUGAGAAGUAGAAAAUCUUUUAGGAGACUUGCCUGGGACUUUGGCCAUGGCUUCGGAGAAGAAUCAGAAACUGUGGUGACCAGAAAAGAAGCCGCCGCUGCCAUCUCCUACAUGGCCUCCGCAGGUGUUGUUCAUAUAAGAACUGUUGUGCGUAGAAGUUUUCAGGUGCAUACCUGACAAUAAUGCCAAGGCUGAAGUUCCCUAAUGUUCUUUCAUAUUUCUGCUGGUGGAUAUGAUUUGCUUUUCUUUAAUUAUGUUAUUCAGCCGGCAAGUGCUUCUUUUCUUAAUUUUCUCAAGUCUUCUGUCCUGCCUAAUAAUGCACCCUGUUAAGUUCUUCAGCAACAAAAGUAUUAUUGUAACAACUACCACUCAAACAACUACUGACCUGAGAGUUUAAUGUAACCAACUGGUUACCAAUGACAACAGCACUGCCAGAGUUUGUUACUA